CUGACUGCUAUCGGAUUGGUACUAAGCCAUGUGAGUCGUUGUAGCAAUACAAGGCAUACGGCUCAGUAACACGUAGUCAAUCUAACCUAUGGACGGGGAUAACCUCGGGAAACUGAGGAUAAUACCUGAUAGAUCAUAAUGCCUGGAACGGUUUAUGGUCCAAAUGAUUCGUCGCCGUAGGGUGGGACUGCGGCCUAUCAGCUUGUUGGUGAGGUAAUGGCCCACCAAGGCUAUUACAGGUACGGGCUCUGAGAGGAGUAGCCCGGAGAUGGGUACUGAGACACGGACCCAGGCCCUAUGGGGCGCAGCAGGCGAGAAACCUUUGCAAUGUGCGCAAGCACGACAAGGUUAAUCCGAGUGUUUCCUGCUAAAGGAAUCUUUUGUUAGUUGUAAAACCACUGAUGAAUAAGGGGUGGGCAAGUUCUGGUGUCAGCCGCCGCGGUAAAACCAGCACCUCAAGUGGUCAGGAUGAUUAUUGGGCCUAAAGCAUCCGUAGCCUGUUCUGAAAGUUUCCGGUUAAAUCCAUUAACUCAACUAAUGGGCUGCCGAAAAUACUGCAGAACUAGGGAGUGGGAGAGGUAGACGGUACUCGGUAGGAAGGGGUAAAAUCCUUUGAUCUAUUGAUGACCACCUGUGGCGAAGGCGGUCUACCAGAACACGUUCGACGGUGAGGGAUGAAAGCUGGGGGAGCAAACCGGAUUAGAUACCCGGGUAGUCCCAGCUGUAAACGAUGCAAACUCGGUGAUGCCCUGGCUUGUGGCCAGUGCAGUGCCGCAGGGAAGCCGUUAAGUUUGCCGCCUGGGAAGUACGUACGCAAGUAUGAAACUUAAAGGAAUUGGCGGGGGAGCACCACAAGGGGUGAAGCCUGCGGUUC
rnacentral:rRNA from 1 species